UACCAGCCAAUUUGACACAACUGUGGGAAGCAUUGGAGACAACAUGGGCAAGCAACCCUGUGGAACGCUUUCGACAACUUGUAGAGUCCAUGCCCCGAAAAAAAACGUUGGCUGUUCUGAGGGCAAAAGGGUGGGUGCAACUCAAUAUUAGGAAGGUGCUCCUAAUGUUUUGUAUACUCAUUGUACAUCCCAUAAGUUACCAAAUGAGGCAUACGUUAUCUGAAACAAGUUCCAUAUGAAUUAAUAUUAUGAGUGUGUGUGUUUUGUGUAAUAUUGAAUGGUAAGGGCUAAAAGCAUUCAAUUGGAAUGUUGUGAUCCAGAAGUUACACCAUAUAAUUUCUUGUCCUGUCUAGUGCCUUGCUCCAGGAGGGUGAUUUGCAUAGAUGACACUUUGCAUUGGCAGCACAUGCUUCAGUGCUCUGGGAGUAUUUAUAACCCUGUGAGUUUAACACUUCAUGACUGAGAGCUGUCCUUCAUGACAACAGAACCCACAUCAACAAUGACUUUUAUCACCAUCUUCAUCUGGAUACUUGCCCUCUGUCUCCAAGAGUCCAGAGGCCAGGUCACAGUGACCCAGACUCCUGCAGUGAAAGCUGUUUCAGUGGGUCACUCAGUCAGUCUCAGCUGUAAGACCAGCAGUGCUGUACACAUUAACAGCAAUGGACACUAUUUGCACUGGUAUCAACAGAAACCUGGAGGAGCUCCUAAACUCCUUAUUUACUAUGCUAAAACCCUUCAGUCUGGGAUUCCAUCUAGAUUCAGUGGCAGUGGAUCUGGGAGUGACUUCACUCUGACCAUCAGUGGAGUCCAGACUGAAGAUGCAGGAGAUUACUACUGUCAGAGUUACCACAGUGGUAAUGUGUUCACACAGUGAUACAGAGUCGUACAAAAACCUCCUUCAGUC